GAUUCAUAUGGAAAGAUAUAAUAACAAAUAUGGAUAGUGUUAUGUAAUUAGAAGUGUCUCUUUUGAGAAGUAUAUGUCAAUUUUUGAAGCACCGUACAAUUGAGGAUCAAGAAAGGAAGAGACGAACGAUGGAAGAUAAAGCAGUUAAGUUUAUGAAACUAGGUGUGAAAAGUUGGAUCCAAUCACAACUUCUCCGGUGCAUAAAGAUUUACUAUGGGAUUCAAUUAAACAAAUCUUAAGGGCAUCCAAACAUGAGGCAUAUUCUUACGUGUACCAGGUUGAUGAGUUGGAGGAGCAUCAACAUGAAAAGGAUACUAGCUAUUUGCAGCAAAAUGUGUAGAGACAGAUCCCAGAAGAGACUUAAUUAGGAAUAUAUAUGUUCGGAAUUGCGGAUGGACAAAUCAGUUGUGCAAGCAUAAAACUUUAACUUUGUAUGGAGUGGUGGAAGAAGAGGAUUCUUUGAGAACUAUGUUUUUUCAGUAUUUGUUAUUUUUGUGGUGGAAGGAGAGGAUUAAUCAUCUAUUGCAUUCACAUUUGCUUGAAAUGUGCAUCUUCUGAACGAUGCAUUGGCCAUCCUCAAGUCUAUGUUGGAGGCAUGUAGAGCAUUGUUUUUCUCUUUAGAAUGUGAAAGGUAGUAGAACAGCAUCCAAAUGAUGAGAUUAUUGAGAAUAACCUCUUGAAAGGAUUGAUAUAUAUAUGCAAGUAAAUUUUAGUAUUACGUAAAUAAUUUUAAAUUUCUUUAUUGA